CAGCAGCAGCAUCAACAACAACAGCAGAAUAUACCACCAGUUUUUAUGCCAGGCCAUCCAAUUCAACAGCCUUUACCUGUUGUUGCUAACCCAAUUAUGGAUGCAACUUAUCCUGAAACUCAAGUGACAAUGUCUCCAGCUCAUAUAAUUGGAACACUAUCAGACACACAAACAUCUGGAAGAAAGCGAGUUGCUCCACGUGACGUCGCUGAAAAUAGUAUAGAAAGGAGGCAGAA
rnacentral:misc_RNA from 1 species